AACGUAGACGAAAGUUACGCUAAUACCGCAUAUUCUGUGAGCAGGAAAGAGGGGGAUCGCAAGACCUCUUGCUUUAGGAGCGGCCGAUGUCGGAUUAGCUAGUUGGUGAGGUAAAGGCUCACCAAGGCGACGAUCCGUAGCGGGUCUGAGAGGAUGAUCCGCCACACUGGGACUGAGACACAGCCCAGACUCCUACGGGAGGCAGCAGUGGGGAAUUUUGGACAAUGGGCGCAAGCCUGAUCCAGCCAUGCCGCGUGAGUGAAGAAGGCCUUCGGGUUGUAAAGCUCUUUCGGUGGGGAAGAAAUUGCACAGGAUAAUACCUUGUGUAGAUGACGGUACCCGCAUAAGAAGCACCGGCUAACUACGUG
rnacentral:rRNA from 1 species